AUUGAACGCUGGCGGCAUGCUUUACACAUGCAAGUCGAACGGCAGCGCGGGCUUCGGCCUGGCGGCGAGUGGCGAACGGGUGAGUAAUGCAUCGGAACGUGCCCAGUAGUGGGGGAUAGCCCGGCGAAAGCCGGAUUAAUACCGCAUACGACCUGAGGGUGAAAGCGGGGGACCGAGAGGCCUCGCGCUAUUGGAGCGGCCGAUGUCGGAUUAGCUAGUUGGUGGGGUAAAGGCUUACCAAGGCGACGAUCCGUAGCUGGUCUGAGAGGACGACCAGCCACACUGGGACUGAGACACGGCCCAGACUCCUACGGGAGGCAGCAGUGGGGAAUUUUGGACAAUGGGGGCAACCCUGAUCCAGCCAUGCCGCGUGCGGGAAGAAGGCCUUCGGGUUGUAAACCGCUUUUGUUCGGGAAGAAAUCCUCUGGGCUAAUACCCCGGGGGGAUGACGGUACCGGAAGAAUAAGCACCGGCUAACUACGU
rnacentral:rRNA from 1 species